rnacentral:rRNA from 1 species
CGCGCAGGCGGGCCGGCAAGUUGGAAGUGAAAUCUAUGGGCUUAACCCAUAAACUGCUUUCAAAACUGUUGGUCUUGAGUGAUGGAGAGGCAGGCGGAAUUCCGUGUGUAGCGGUGAAAUGCGUAGAUAUACGGAGGAACACCAGUGGCGAAGGCGGCCUGCUGGACAUUAACUGACGCUGAGGCGCGAAAGCGUGGGAGCAAACA